rnacentral:rRNA from 1 species
UACGUAGGGCGCAAGCGUUGUCCGGAAUUAUUGGGCGUAAAGAGCUCGUAGGCGGCCUGUUACGUCUGCUGUGAAAUCCCGGGGCUUAACCCCGGGCGUGCAGUGGAUACGGGCAGGCUGGAGGCAGGCAGGGGAGAACGGAAUUCCCGGUGUAGCGGUGAAAUGCGCAGAUAUCGGGAGGAACACCGGUGGCGAAGGCGGUUCUCUGGGCCGAUACUGACGCUGAGGAGCGAAAGCAUGGGGAGCGAACAGG